rnacentral:rRNA from 1 species
UACGGAGGGUGCAAGCGUUAAUCGGAAUUACUGGGCGUAAAGCGUGCGCAGGCGGUUUGUUAAGUCUGAUGUGAAAGCCCUGGGCUCAACCUGGGAAUUGCACUGGAUACUGGCAGGCUAGAGUGCGGUAGAGGAUGGCGGAAUUCCCGGUGUAGCAGUGAAAUGCGUAGAGAUCGGGAGGAACAUCCGUGGCGAAGGCGGCCAUCUGGACCAGCACUGACACUGAGGCACGAAAGCGUGGGGAGCAAACAGG